rnacentral:rRNA from 1 species
AUUGAACGCUGGCGGCAGGCUUAACACAUGCAAGUCGAGCGGAGAUGAGGUGCUUGCACCUUAUCUUAGCGGCGGACGGGUGAGUAAUGCUUAGGAAUCUGCCAUUUAGUGGGGGACAACAUUCCGAAAGGAAUGCUAAUACCGCAUACGUCCUACGGGAGAAAGCAGGGGAUCUUCGGACCUUGCGCUAAAUGAUGAGCCUAAGUCGGAUUAGCUAGUUGGUGGGGUAAAGGCCUACCAAGGCGACGAUCUGUAGCGGGUCUGAGAGGAUGAGCCGCCACACUGGGACUGAGACACGGCCCAGACUCCUACGGGAGGCAGCAGUGGGGAAUAUUGGACAAUGGGGGGAAACCUGAUCCAGCCAUGCCGCGUCUGUGAAGAAGGCCUUAUGGUUGUAAAGCACUUUAAGCGAGGAGGAGGCUACUGAGACUAAUACUCUUGGAUAGUGGACGUUACUCGCAGAAUAAGCACCGGCUAACUCUGUG